CCUACGGGUGGCUGCAGUGAGGAAUAUUGGUCAAUGGCCGUAAGGCUGAACCAGCCAAGUCGCGUGAAGGAAGAAGGAUCUAUGGUUUGUAAACUUCUUUUAUAGGGGAAUAAAGGUAUCCACGUGUGGAUAUUUGCAUGUACCCUAUGAAUAAGCAUCGGCUAACUCCGUGCCAGCAGCCGCGGUAAUACGGAGGAUCCGAGCGUUAUCCUGAUUUAUUGGGUUUAAAGGGAGCGUAGAUGGGUUGUUAAGUCAGUUGUGAAAGUUUGCGGCUCAACCGUAAAAUUGCAAUUGAUACUGGCAGCCGUGAGUACAGUUGAGGUAGGCGGAAUUCGUGGUGUAGCGGUGAAAUGCUUAGAUAUCACGCAGAACUCCGAUUGCGAAGGCAGCAUACCGGCGCCCAACUGACGCUGAAGCACGAAAGCGUGGGUAUCGAACAGGAUUAGAUACCCUAGUAGUC
rnacentral:rRNA from 1 species